rnacentral:rRNA from 1 species
UGCGUAGGUGGUUCUGUGUGUCGGAUGUGAAAUCCCACGGCUCAACUGUGGAACUGCAUCCGAAACUACAGAACUAGAGUGCAGGAGGGGAGAGCGGAAUUCUUGGUGUAGCGGUGAAAUGCGUUGAUAUCAAGAAGAACACCGGUGGCGAAGGCGGCUCUCUGGAAUGCAACUGACACUGAGGCACGAAAGCUAGGGGAGCGAACA